rnacentral:lncRNA from 1 species
AUAUCUUAUACACGGCACUUUUUUAGAAUAAUACAGCAGAUACCGACCGUUCCUAGAACAAAUGGCAAAGAAUUUGAUGGUUGGUACCAGAGGUCUCAAGUUUGAAUCCUAGUUGAUUCACAUUUUCAGCUAAGUUUAUUUCUAAAUGAAAUAAACGAAGUAAGUAGUAUGCUACCUAUCUUCCAAAAAAAAUACAGCAAAUAUUUUUAAAUUAAAACUUAAUUUAUUUGUAUGCGAUAUUUAUGUGAUAUCGAAAAGGCGGAUAUUUAUUCAGUUAUUAUAAUUUUUUAAAUUUAGUUCUUCUAAAAAUAAAAUAGUUUUAUUUCUAUAUAAUUGAUGUUUGAGAGACUACUUGAUGUUUUGAUUAUAUAUAUUUUUUAAAAUUUUAUUUUAAAAUAUUAAUAAUAAAAUAAAAUUGGUAGUGUACGAGAAGUA